UACGAAGGGGGCUAGCGUUGCUCGGAAUCACUGGGCGUAAAGGGUGCGUAGGCGGUUCUUUAAGUCAGGGGUGAAAUCCCGGGGCUCAACCUCGGAACUGCCUCUGAUACUGCAAAUCUCGAGUCCGGAAGAGGUGAGUGGAAUUCCUAGUGUAGAGGUGAAAUUCGUAGAUAUUAGGAAGAACACCAGUGGCGAAGGCGGCUCACUGGUCCGGUACUGACGCUGAGGUGCGAAAGCGUGGGGAGCAAACAGG
rnacentral:rRNA from 1 species